UACUGGCAAAAUUAGGUAAGAAAAUCGCUAUCUUUAUUAUCUUCUGAAAAUAGUAAAGUAUAACCAGAGUUUACAAAUGGGUAGCUUAAAGGACAUGUAACCUGCAGAUAAAUAAAUAACCGUGUGUAUUUUUGCAUUGCUUUAUCACAGAUGAUCAAGUUAGAUGCUCACCUAAUGUGUUGCUGAGUCAUCAAGGAUCCAGCUUGUUCUUGAAACAUUGAAGUUUGCGCUCUGCAAGUGAACGAUGCCUUGUGGUGCCAUCCCAAAGAAGUUCAAAAUCACUCUCACGGACCUUUUCCUGGACUGUGCCUAGCUGGUGGAAUGACCUCCCAAUUUCAAUUCGUACAGCUGAGGCUUUACUCAUCCUCAAGAAACAUCUAAAGACUCAUCUUUUUCACCAGAACUUAACCAACUAAUACUAGCCCUUUUCCUUCUUUUCUUAAAAAAAAAAAAAAACCUGGCUAUGUGUUCUGUACUACACUAACUGAGACUUGUCAUGGCACUUUUAUACUGUUGUUGUUCUCUUGUUGACCUGACUGCUUCUAUUGUUCUCAUUUGUAAGUCGCUUUGGAUAAAAGCAUCUGUUAAAUGAUUAAAUGUAGAUGUUUAUACAGGACGGUACAGAAAGUGCACAAGUGGGAGAGAGUGGAGGGGACAGCGUC